UACGGGGGGGGCAAGCGUUGUUCGGAAUUACCGGGCGUAAAGGGCUCGUAGGCGGCCAACUAAGUCAGACGUGAAAUUCCUCGGCUUAACCGGGGAACUGCGUCUGAUACUGGAUGGCUUGAGUUUGGGAGAGGGAUGCGGAAUUCCAGGUGUAGCGGUGAAAUGCGUAGAUAUCUGGAGGAACACCGGUGGCGAAGGCGGCAUCCUGGACCAACACUGACGCUGAGUGAGCGAAAGCGUGGGGGGCGAACAGG
rnacentral:rRNA from 1 species